AUUGAACGCUGGCGGAAUGCUUUACACAUGCAAGUCGAACGGCAGCACGGACUUCGGUCUGGUGGCGAGUGGCGAACGGGUGAGUAUCAUAUCGGAACGUAUCCAAUAAUGGGGGAUAACUAAUCGAAAGGUUGGCUAAUACCGCAUACGCCCUACGGGGGAAAGCAGGGGAUCUUCGGACCUUGCGUUAAUGGAGCGGCUGAUAUCUGAUUAGCUAGUUGGUGAGGUAAAGGCUCACCAAGGCGACGAUCAGUAGCUGGUCUGAGAGGACGACCAGGCAAACUGGAAAUGAGACACGGUCCAGACUCCUACGGGAGGCAGCAGUGGGGAAUUUCGGACAAUGGGCGCAAGCCUGAUCCAGCCAUUCCGCGUGAGUGAAGAAGGCCUUCGGGUUGUAAAGCUCUUUCGCAAGGGAAGAAAACUUACUUUCUAAUAAAGAGUGAGGUUGACGGUACCUUGAUAAGAAGCACCGGCUAACUACGUGCCAGCCGCCGCGGUAA
rnacentral:rRNA from 1 species